GCGGCGGACGGGUUAGUAACGCGUGGGAAUGUACCCUUCUCUACGGAAUAGCCUCGGGAAACUGAGAGUAAUACCGUAUACGCCCUUCGGGGGAAAGAUUUAUCGGAGAAGGAUCAGCCCGCGUAAGAUUAGAUAGUUGGUGGGGUAAUGGCCUACCAAGUCUACGAUCUUUAGCUGGUUUUAGAGGAUGAUCAGCAACACUGGGACUGAGACACGGCCCAGACUCCUACGGGAGGCAGCAGUGGGGAAUCUUGGACAAUGGGCGCAAGCCUGAUCCAGCCAUGCCGCGUGUGUGAUGAAGGCCUUAGGGUCGUAAAGCACUUUCGCUAGAGAUGAUAAUGACAGUAUCUAGUAAAGAAGUCCCGGCUAACUCCGUGCCAGCAGCCGCGGUAAUACGGAGGGGACUAGCGUUGUUCGGAAUUACUGGGCGUAAAGCGUACGUAGGCGGAUCAGAAAGUAUGGGGUGAAAUCCCAGGGCUCAACCCUGGAACUGCCUCAUAAACUCCUGGUCUAGAGUUCGAGAGAGGUGAGUGGAAUUCCGAGUGUAGAGGUGAAAUUCGUAGAUAUUCGGAGGAACACCAGUGGCGAAGGCGGCUCACUGGCUCGAUACUGACGUUGAGGUACGAAAGUGUGGGGAGCAAACAGGAUUAGAUACCCUGGUAGUCCACACCGUAAACGAU
rnacentral:rRNA from 1 species